rnacentral:rRNA from 1 species
CCUACGGGAGGCAGCAGUAAGGAAUAUUGGUCAAUGGACGCAAGUCUGAACCAGCCAUGCCGCGUGAAGGAUUAAGGUCCUCUGGAUUGUAAACUUCUUUUAUUUGGGACGAAAAAGGGCCUUUCUAGGUCAACUGACGGUACCAGAUGAAUAAGCACCGGCUAACUCCGUGCCAGCAGCCGCGGUAAUACGGAGGGUGCAAGCGUUAUCCGGAUUCACUGGGUUUAAAGGGUGCGUAGGCGGGUAGGUAAGUCAGUGGUGAAAUCCUAGAGCUUAACUCUAGAACUGCCAUUGAUACUAUCUAUCUUGAAUAUUGUGGAGGUAAGCGGAAUAUGUCAUGUAGCGGUGAAAUGCUUAGAUAUGACAUAGAACACCUAUUGCGAAGGCAGCUUACUACGCAUAUAUUGACGCUGAGGCACGAAAGCGUGGGGAUCAAACAGGAUUAGAUACCCUGGUAGUCCACGCCCUAAACUAUGAUUACUCGACAUUUGAGAUACACAUUAAGUGUCUGAGCGAAAGCAUUAAGUAAUCCACCUGGAAGUACGUCCGCAAGGAUGAAACUCAAAGGAAUUGACGG